ACACCCAGAGCACCGAGCAGCGGCAGGACGAGCGCAGAGACGCAGAAGUCGGAGUGGAAAAAGUCGGAAAAAUACUCCUUACCGUAAAUACCGAGGAGCUGUGGAAGAAGAGGAACUGUUCGAGCCGAUUCGGGAGUGUCUGGUGGACCACGGAAAAGCGACCCUGGGAAUUUUACCUGUGUUGAUUAAAUUUCUUUUCCCGGCUGGGUUUUUUGGAGACCUUGGAUUCUGGAUCCUCUCCCUGGAUGGGAGAUGGCGAGCCAACCGUGUGAUCAACUAGAGCUGGAGUGACGAGGACCCUCUCUUCUUCGCCUGUCGUUUUGCCGGUGUGGUAGGACUUAAAGAAAAGAAACUCGGACAGAUUAAAGGAACAAUCCUUAUUUUUUUUUCCCCUCCUCCUUGGAAACAAGAGACAUUUUAUUUUAUUUUAUUUUAUUUUAUUUUAUUUUAUUUUAAAGGGUGCACCCAGGUUAAAAGACAAUUUAAAACAAAACAAAUUGAAAGGCCGGCCAUAUCUGUACAAAUGUUUAUUUUUCAUGUGUUAAUACACUGCUUUUGCUAAACCUACCUCUGUGUGGUUGCCUCUUACUCAGUCGGUGUUCCAUCUCAUUCUUCAUCACUCCCUCUAUCGAAUCUAGAGUAUCCUGGUCUAGUGUUACUUACCUCUCCAAGUGGGUUACAUAUACAUCAAUGUCAGUUACAUGUAUUGAGUGGCUGGAUGACAACUAAAAGCAUGAUUAGACAAGUUUUUCUGUGUGUUUUUUUUUUUUUUGGAGGGAAAGCUUUGUGUAAGCUUCAUGGACUGCAGAUAAAUUAGCAGCUAAACUGUAAUCUGGUGCAAUGCAUCUCUUAUGUAGCUACAUGAGAUUAAUGUAGGCUAUUUGUGAAUACUCCCUGACAUUGGACAAUGAUGAUAAAUGAUGGUUUUCAGUUAAACAUUUUAUGUAUUUAAACGAUGAAUGUGACAAUACGAGCAAUUGUGUGUCUGUGAGAACAAGAAAAAAUUAAAAGACAAUGUAUG